GAUCAUAUUUAUCACCUCUCUAUGAUCGCGGCUG
rnacentral:ncRNA from 1 species